rnacentral:rRNA from 1 species
GACGAACGCUGGCGGUGUGCUUCACACAUGCAAGUCGAACGAGGUAGCAAUACCUAGUGGCGGACGGGUGAGUAACGCGUGGGAAUCUGCCUUUAGAUGGGGGAUAACGGGUCGAAAGACUCGCUAAUACCGCAUAUGACGAAAGUUGAAAGGAGUAAUCCGUCUAAAGAUGAGCCCGCGGCCGAAUUAGCUAGUUGGUAGAGUAAAAGCCUACCAAGGCGACGAUCGGUAGCUGGUCUGAGAGGAUGAUCAGCCACAAUGGGACUGAGACACGGCCCAUACUCUACGGGAGGCAGCAGUGGGAAUUUUACGCAAUGGGCGAAAGCCUGACGUAGCGACACCGCAUGAGCGAAGAAGCCCCCUUUGGGGGUGUAAAAGCUCUGUCAGCUGGAACGAAAAGGAUUGACGGUACCAGCAGAGG